UACGAAGGGGGCUAGCGUUGUUCGGAAUCACUGGGCGUAAAGGCGCGUAGGCGGCCGAUCAAGUCGGGGGUGAAAGCCUGUGGCUUAACCACAGAAUGGCCUUCGAUACUGUUUGGCUUGAGACCGGAAGAGGUUAGUGGAACUGCGAGUGUAGAGGUGAAAUUCGUAGAUAUUCGCAAGAACACCAGUGGCGAAGGCGGCUGACUGGUCCGGUUCUGACGCUGAGGCGCGAAAGCGUGGGGAGCAACAGG
rnacentral:rRNA from 1 species